rnacentral:rRNA from 1 species
CUACGGAGGGUGCAAGCGUUACUCGGAAUCACUGGGCGUAAAGCGCGCGCAGGUGGUCUUUUAAGUUGGAUGUGAAAGCCUACGGCUCAACCGUAGAACUGCAUCCAAAACUAUUAGACUAGAGUGUGGGAGAGGAAGAUGGAAUUAGUUGUGUAGGGGUAAAAUCCGUAGAGAUAACUAGGAAUACCAAAAGCGAAGGCAAUCUUCUGGAACACUACUGACGCUGAGGCGCGAAAGCGUGGGGAGCAAACAGGAUUAGAAACCCCGGUAGUCC